UACGUAGGGGGCAAGCGUUGUCCGGAUUCAUUGGGCGUAAAGAGCUCGUAGGCGGCUUGGCAAGUCGGGUGUGAAAACUUCAGGCUCAACCUGGAGCGGCCACUCGAUACUGCCAUGGCUUGAGUCCGGUAGGGGACCACGGAAUUCCUGGUGUAGCGGUGAAAUGCGCAGAUAUCAGGAGGAACACCGGUGGCGAAGGCGGCUUGCUGGGCCUUACCUGACGCUGAGGAGCGAAAGCGUGGGGAGCGAACAGG
rnacentral:rRNA from 1 species